rnacentral:misc_RNA from 1 species
GUAGGUGAACCUGCGGAAGGAUCAUUACAGAGAACAUGCCCUCUAGGGUAGAUCUCCCACCCUAUGUUUAUUUACCUUUGUUGCUUUGGCAGGCCCGUCAUACGACCACCGGCUUUGGCUGGUCAGUGCCUGCCAGAGGACCCAAACUCUAAAUUUAUUGUUGUCUGAGAAUCAUAAAAUAGUUAAAACUUUCAACAACGGAUCUCUUGGUUCUGGCAUCGAUGAAGAACGCAGCAUCUGACUGACUCAG